rnacentral:lncRNA from 1 species
UCCUAUGCAAUCCACGAUCCAUCGGGCUAAAGGCCCGUUGGACUUGCUUUAAAACAACUUGCUCUAAUCAGUUCCUGCUUUGGGGGAGUAUGACAAGUUCCAUGGCACGGGGUCCCAAAAUUUAACAGCCCCCAAAAUAGUUUUAUAUUGAAAGUAGUAAUAUAUAAAAUAAUAUUAUAUAAAUGACAGUAGGCCCAUAAGCCACAAGACUACAUGCCUAUAAACGGAAUUGGAUCCUCUCUGAGGAAAAGCCUUGGGAUCCUCUUGACCGGAUGACACUGGCCGUUGGAUUUUGAUCCAACGGCUACAAUUAUUAUAACUUUAGAGGGACCCCCUCUUUGCAGCCGUGUUGUCCGGUAAGGAGGUGCCUCGGAAAGGAUCCAAUUCCCCUAUAAACCAUCAAUUCAAUACAAAAUUACAUAUAAUUUUAUAAAGCAAUAAUUCUCAUGCUAAUCAAAGUCCACUUCUCUCUUAAACGCCUCCACCCCGCACUGCUGCUUUUGUAUUUCCCCUCUCCACUGUUUUUUUUUUUUUUUUUUUUCUCACAAAUCAUUAAAUCCUAAUUCAUAAUUUCAUGCGCAAUUGGAGAGACCUUUUCAAAUUAUCAAUGACAAUCAAGUGGUCAGAGUGAUGCAUAAACUUUAGAUUUAUAUGUAACCGUCGAUUAUCGUUUACGCUUUAUUAUUCUCACCAAAUUUCAUUUUAUUUAUUUUUUUUUUUGGAAAACAUGAAUUUUUAGUGGAUGUAAAAAACGAACGGUUCAAAUCAUUUAUAUCUUACAUUCCGAUAUUUUAUGGUUAAAUGAAAUAUGAGUUGAUGUUAUAUAGUUUUGAGAGACUUUAUGAACUCCAAGCAAUAUUUUUGGUAAAACUCUAACCGUAAUUUCAAUGAUCCGAAUCAUUCAUCUUUAUGCAUCCUCUAAAAGAACAUGUUUAAAAAAAUUAAAAAAAAAUAUGGUGAGAAGAAUGGAGCGUAUAUGUAAACAACAAUCAACGGUUAAAUUUCGAUCUAUAGUUUAUAUAAGGCUUUUUAGCCAAAAUGGUCCCUGAGAUUUGCAUAACACAUCACUUUGGUCUCUCAGAUUAAAAAUCAAUAGAAAUGGUCCUUGAGAUUGUCCAACAUCCAUUAUUUUGGUCCUUCUGUUAAAAACUUCAUUAAGUGUCCCGGAGCUCUUGUCGAAAGUUUGGGGAAUUUUCAAAGCUUCGUAACUCAAUCGUUUCUUAACUACAUUUGACCCAUAAUAUAUCAAAAUGAAGAUACGAAAAUGUAGAAUAAUAUAAUACCUAUUUGGAAGCCCAAUGGUUGCCAAAUAUGGCCGGAAAAUAGCCUGAAAGGUGUCUAUUAGUGGAAAACUCGUCGGAAACUGGGUAAACUUUAAACGUU